rnacentral:rRNA from 1 species
AGUGAACGCUGGCGGUAGGCCUAACACAUGCAAGUCGAACGGCAGCACAGUAAGAGCCUGCUCUUACGGGUGGCGAGUGGCGGACGGGUGAGGAAUACAUCGGAAUCUACUUUUUCGUGGGGGAUAACGUAGGGAAACUUACGCUAAUACCGCAUACGACCUACGGGUGAAAGCAGGGGAUCUUCGGACCUUGCGCGAUUGAAUGAGCCGAUGUCGGAUUAGCUAGUUGGCGGGGUAAAGGCCCACCAAGGCGACGAUCCGUAGCUGGUCUGAGAGGAUGAUCAGCCACACUGGAACUGAGACACGGUCCAGACUCCUACGGGAGGCAGCAGUGUGGAAUAUUGGACAAUGGGCGCAAGCCUGAUCCAGCCAUACCGCGUGGGUGAAGAAGGCCUUCGGGUUGUAAAGCCCUUUUGUUGGGAAAGAAAAGCAGCAGGUUAAUACCCCGCUGUUCUGACGGUACCCAAAGAAUAAGCACCGGCUAACUUCGUG